CUGACUGCAGGUAGCGUUGACCAGAGGACUUUUGAAGACUUAGUCAACACGGGAGCCAUCUCAGCACACCCCCUUCCGAGACGUCGCGACUGCAGUCAACAUUUCAUCCACCUCACCCGACGGUCCGUCUGACUCAGAUAUUCUCAUCUCAUGGGGGAAUACAAAAGCACACAAAGAUAUCUGCUUUAUUGCCUAAGAAGACUAUAAGAAAUGUUGCAUUGAGGUGCCAAUGGAUCACAAUAAAGGCAAGGAAUGGAUGUACUAGGGGAGCA